UACGUAGGGUGCGAGCGUUGUCCGGAUUUAUUGGGCGUAAAGAGCUCGUAGGCGGUCUGUCGCGUCGGCUGUGAAAACCUGGGGCUCAACCCCGGGCCUGCAGUCGAUACGGGCAGACUAGAGUGCGGUAGGGGAGACUGGAAUUCCUGGUGUAGCGGUGAAAUGCGCAGAUAUCAGGAGGAACACCGGUGGCGAAGGCGGGUCUCUGGGCCGUAACUGACGCUGAGGAGCGAAAGCGUGGGGAGCGAACAGG
rnacentral:rRNA from 1 species